rnacentral:rRNA from 1 species
ACUCCUACGGGAGGCAGCAGUGGGGAAUCUUGGACAAUGGGGGCAACCCUGAUCCAGCCAUGCCGCGUGGACGAUGAAGGCCCUAGGGUUGUAAAGUCCUUUCAGCUGGGAAGAUAAUGACGGUACCAGCAGAAGAAGCCCCGGCUAACUCCGUGCCAGCAGCCGCGGUAAUACGGAGGGGGCUAGCGUUGUUCGGAAUUACUGGGCGUAAAGCGCACGUAGGCGGAUCGGAAAGUUGGGGGUGAAAUCCCGGGGCUCAACCUCGGAACUGCCUCCAAAACUGUCGGUCUUGAGUUCUGGAGAGGUGAGUGGAAUUCCGAGUGUAGAGGUGAAAUUCGUAGAUAUUCGGAGGAACACCAGUGGCGAAGGCGGCUCACUGGCCAGAUACUGACGCUGAGGUGCGAAAGCGUGGGGAGCAAACAGGAUUAGAUACCCCAGUAGUCC